rnacentral:rRNA from 1 species
GACGAACGCUGGCGGCGUGCUUAACACAUGCAAGUCGAACGGUAAGGCCCUUUCGGGGGUACACGAGUGGCGAACGGGUGCGUAACACGUGGGUGAUCUGCCCUUCACUUUGGGAUAAGCCUGGGAAACUGGGUCUAAUACCGGAUAGGAAUACGCGAUGCAUGUCGUGUGGUGGAAAGCUUUUGCGGUGUGGGAUGGGCCCGCGGCCUAUCAGCUUGUUGGUGGGGUGAUGGCCUACCAAGGCGACGACGGGUAGCCGGCCUGAGAGGGUGUCCGGCCACACUGGGACUGGAAUACGGCCCAACCUCCUACGGGAGGAAGCAGUGGGGAAUAUUGCACAAUGGGCGCAACCCUGAUGCAGCGACGCCGCGUGGGGGAUGACGGCCUUCGGGUUGUAAACCCCUUUCAGCACAGACGAAGCGUAAGUGACGGUAUGUGCAGAAGAAGCACCGGCUAACUACGUG